GAUCGCGCCACUGCCCUCCAGCCUGAGCAACAACAGCAAGACUCCAUCUCAAAAACAAACAAACCAACAAAAAACCAAGUCACACGUUGUCACCACCCUGCUUAAAACCUUAUAAUGGUUUCACAUCAUAUCUAGAAAGAAGUUUGGCUAAGUGCCGUGACUCACACCUGUGGUCUCAGCUACUUGAUAGGCUGGGGUGGAAGGAUGCUUUGAGCCCAGGAGUUCAAGGUUGCAGUGAACUGAGAUUAUGCCACUGCACUGCAGCCUGGGCGACAGAGCAAGACCCUGUCUCAAUAAAUAAAUUGAAUGAAGUUUGUUGCUGUGGCCUGCAAGAUUCCGAAGUCCUGCCCUAGCCUCUGUCCCCAAGCUUUUCUCUCCCCAUAAUUCACUCUGCCUUCUGUGUGUCUCCUGGACAUACCAAGCUUAUUUCUACCCCAGGCCUUUGCACCGGCUCUCCCCUCUUCUCUGUGCCUGGGACGCUCCUUCCUCGAUUCUUCUCAUAGCUGGCUGCUUCUUCCCAUUCCAGACGCAGCGUACAUGUCACCUCCCAGCUACGCUGCUCAUGCCUGCCUGUGGCACUGUGCCACAGUGCCCUGUCUCACUCCUUCACACUUACCUUCCUCUGAAAUUACCUUGUGUGUCUGUCAUUUCCUUCCUCCGAGUAGAAUAUUCAGCCCCCACAGAGGAAGUGCCUUGCCCAUCUUCUAUAAUACUGUGUUCCCAGGGCUGAGAACAGUCCCUCACACACAGCAGGUACUUAGUUUGCAGAGAGGCCCACGUGGUCCAGGCAUUCUUAAGCAACUCCUGCAGUGGCACCAGAAGCCUGUUUCCCCCAAGUGAUCCUUUGUUCUCAAAUGCUGGUCCUUUUAUUGGCUGCCAAGAUGUUAGGGUUGGAUUUGGGAAAAAUCACCUGCCUCUCUAGGGUCCCAGAUGAAGAGAAGAAAACAAAAAACAGAGCCAAAUGGCCCUCUUCCUGGUUCACUGUCCCUGGCGAAACUGGAGUGGAAAAUCCUGAUUUGAUUUGAUCCCCUGGAGGGCAGCAGCGCCCCCUGCAGGAAGAAGGCCUUUCCUGGUCCCUUUGCUCAAAUCCACUGGACUAUAUUCUCGAGACGCUACGGAUACUCCACUGAGUUUCACACCACUGGGCCUUCACCUCUGCUGUUCCCACCCUCUGGAAUGAUCUUCCUGGGUGCUAUGCCUGGUGAUCUCCUGAAGUCGAGGUCUGGCCAGACCUCUGCUCUAGGAAGCCUCUUCUGAGCCCUCCUGAUAGUCAGGGGGACCCUCCUCUGUGCACACCCCUCUCAGAGCCUUACCCCUCCAGAGGAGGGUUGCAGUAUCCAUUGACUCAUCUGGAAGAGCAGAGACUGUUUUGUUUUCUGAUGGACACACCCAAUCGCCAGGACAAGGCAUAGUAGCCCUUCAACACGUGUUGGAAGGAUGAAUGAGCGAGUGCCCACUAACCUCCGAGCCCCUCAUGGACGUGGCCAGUGUGUCACUCACCUCGCUGUGGUUCCCAUUGGUUGCCAGUUCCCAAGUGUCACCCUUGCCCACUGGAAGGCAACAGCAAGGUGUCAAAGAGAUCCUGCAGGGCUGCCCCAGCCAGAAUCGCCCACUAGGCCCUAUCUCUCACGGCCGUGUCCUGCCCAGGAUCUUGGUUUGGGACAAGCCCUUCUGGGAAGGGCGCCCUCCAGUGGGAAACCAGCCCUGCUCCACUGCCAGUCCCAGAGCUGACAUCUCCCAGAGCUGACAUCUCCCAGAGCUGGGCCCAAGAUUGAUCCUUUUCCCAGAGGCACACUGAUCUGACCUGAUUGUCAUAAACCCACCCCCACUGUGUGCCUUCCCGAGCUUCUAGAAUCAUCCCCCAAGUCCCACAAGCCCCAGAAACCCAUUUCUUCAGCACUGGGCAGCAGAGACCAGUGGGGUAUCUGUAUCUUUAAGAAAAAGCAAGUGUAAUAAAUAAAAGUUAUCUGGGAAA